GACGUAGGGUGCGAGCGUUGUCCGGAUUUAUUGGGCGUAAAGAGCUCGUAGGCGGCUUGGCAAGUCGGGUGUGAAACCUCCAGGCUCAACCUGGAGACGCCACUCGAUACUGCUAUGGCUAGAGUCCGGUAGGGGACCACGGAAUUCCUGGUGUAGCGGUGAAAUGCGCAGAUAUCAGGAGGAACACCGGUGGCGAAGGCGGUGGUCUGGGCCGGCACUGACGCUGAGGAGCGAAAGCGUGGGUAGCAAACAGG
rnacentral:rRNA from 1 species